CCAACAAAUUCGCCAAACACAAAUCUUCACUUUCUCAGGUACUCGAGCCCUCCACUAGGCCUUCUAUAGAAAAUUAAUUUAUACAGCAAUUGAGGAUCGGCUUAGACACCAUGUCUAACCGAUCCAUCCCCACCGGUAUAGGACUGAGCACUUUGAAAAAACUUUUCCUUGAUAACAAACUAUCCCCCUAUAUUUUAAUAGAUGCUCCAUCCCCCACUCUCCACCAAGCUCCAACCCUAAUUACUUUGCGGGCUUCCACUAUACUUCUUCAACCCUCAUUACUUUGAGGGCGGGCUUCCACUAUACUUCUUCAACCAUAAGAUGAAUUUGUCUUCACCGGUGUCGAAAGAAAAUAAGGGAUACAGCUUGGGCUACUGUUUUUAUCAAUAUCACAUUGGCCUUGUUGAAAUUGAAAUUGUGUUUCGUCUUUUACUUUUGUAAUGAUAUCAAAUGACUAACAUGCCUGAAAGACCUUGCUGUGUUCUCGGCAUGGUGGGCCUUUUAA
rnacentral:lncRNA from 1 species